rnacentral:rRNA from 1 species
UACGUAGGGGGCAAGCGUUGUCCGGAUUUAUUGGGCGUAAAGAGCGUGUAGGCGGUCAGGUAGGUCCGUUGUGAAAACUCGAGGCUCAACCUCGAGACGCCGAUGGAAACCAUCUGACUAGAGUCCGGGAGAGGAGAGUGGAAUUCCUGGUGUAGCGGUGGAAUGCGCAGAUAUCAGGAAGAACACCCGUGGCGAAGGCGGCUCUCUGGAACGCAACUGACGCUGAGACGCGAAAGCGUGGGGAGCAAACAGG